AUGCAUGUCUCAGUUCAGGCCUUAAUACGGUGAGACCGCGAAUGGCUCAUUAAAUCAGCUAUGGUUUAUUGGAUCGUGCCCGUUAGAUGGAUAACUGUAAUAACUCUAGAGCUAAUACAUGCCUCGAUGCCCUGACCCUGCUCAUGUUUGCCUUGCUUGCAUGUGGGGGGGAUGGGUGCACUUAUUAGAUCAGAAGCCAACCAACUGUGCGUGUGCAGCUCACUGCGAGGUGGACGUCGCGUGCGUUGAGACACUUACUUCUGGUGACUCUGGAUAAUUGUUACAGAUCGCAGUCGGCGUUGAGUCGGCGACGGGUCCUUCAAAUGUCUGCCCUAUCAACUUUCGAUGGUAGGUGACCUGCCUACCAUGGUGGUAACGGGUAACGGGGAAUCAGGGUUCGAUUCCGGAGAGGGAGCCUGAGAAACGGCUACCACUUCCAAGGGAGGCAGCAGGCGCGCAAAUUACCCACUCCCAGCACGGGGAGGUGGUGACGAAAAAUACCGAUGCGGGACUCCUUCAAGAGGCUCCGUAAUCGGAAUGAGUGGACUCUAAACCCCUUCACGAGGAUCAAUUGGAGGGCAAGUCUGGUGCCAGCAGCCGCGGUAACUCCAGCUCCAAUAGCGU
rnacentral:rRNA from 1 species